rnacentral:rRNA from 1 species
UGGGGAAUAUUGCACAAUGGGCGCAAGCCUGAUGCAGCCAUGCCGCGUGUAUGAAGAAGGCCUUCGGGUUGUAAAGUACUUUCAGCGAGGAGGAAGGCGUUGUGGUUAAUCACCGCAGCGAUUGACGUUACUCGCAGAAGAAGCACCGGCUAACUCCGUGCCAGCAGCCGCGGUAAUACGGAGGGUGCAAGCGUUAAUCGGACUUACUGGGCGUAAAGCGCACGCAGGCGGUCUGUCAAGUCGGAUGUGAAAUCCCCGGGCUCAACCUGGGAACUGCAUCCGAAACUGGCAGGCUAGAGUCUUGUAGAGGGGGGUAGAAUUCCAGGUGUAGCGGUGAAAUGCGUAGAGAUCUGGAGGAAUACCGGUGGCGAAGGCGGCCCCCUGGACAAAGACUGACGCUCAGGUGCGAAAGCGUGGGGAGCAAACA